rnacentral:rRNA from 1 species
AUGGCAAUUGUCCAUACCUACGAGAAGCCUGCCAUCUUCUUGACUAUGACCUGCAACCCUAACUGGGAAGAGAUCUCAAAUGAGUUGUUUCCUAGUCAGACAGUGCAAGACCGACCUGAUCUUGUGGCGCGUGUGUUCCAUGGCAGGCCAGAGGCUAUGAAAGAGAUAUUGAUCAAGAAGAAUAUCCUGGGUGUCGUUGUCGCGUAUGUAUACGUAGUCAAGUUCCAGAAGAGGGGGCUCCCACACACACACACACACUUUUUGUUGAUCAUGGAUUCUGCCUAUAAGCUUGUCGUUCUGGAGCAGUAUGACCGACUCAUUUCUGGCGAGAUCCCAGACAAGCAGAAGUAUCCUGAACUCCACUCCUUGGUGGUGAAACAUAUGAUGCACGGACCAUGUGGUUCUCUCAACCUCAAAAGUGUGUGCAUGCAAUAG